UUAAAAACUGAGAAGAGAAGUAGUAAUUUCUGCUAAGCUGAAAGAGAACAGAAUCCAAAGGCUGUAAGAUUCUGGCAGUUAAAAGAAAUGAAGUCAUCUCUGAGUUUUACUGACUAAGCUUAAAUUUAAUUUUUUUAAUAAUUUUUGUUAAUCAGUAACGGCACAAAAGUCGUUAAAAAAUGAGAGCUUUCUGUCUCAACAGGAAGAACUAAGGUGGUACCGCGAUUUUAAUGCUCUUUCGUCCUUAAU
rnacentral:ncRNA from 1 species